AGAUUAAGUUAUUAAGGGCGCACGGUGGAUGCCUUGGCACUAGAAGCCGAUGAAGGACGUUACUAACGACGAUAUGCUUUGGGGAGCUGUAAGUAAGCUUUGAUCCAGAGAUUUCCGAAUGGGGAAACCCAGCAUGAGUUAUGUCAUGUUAUCGAUAUGUGAAUACAUAGCAUAUCAGAAGGCACACCCGGAGAACUGAAACAUCUUAGUACCCGGAGGAAGAGAAAGAAAAUUCGAUUCCCUUAGUAGCGGCGAGCGAAACGGGAAGAGCCCAAACCAACAAGCUUGCUUGUUGGGGUUGUAGGACACUCUAUACGGAGUUACAAAGGACGACAUUAGACGAAUCAUCUGGAAAGAUGAAUCAAAGAAGGUAAUAAUCCUGUAGUCGAAAAUGUUGUCUCUCUUGAGUGGAUCCUGAGUACGACGGAGCACGUGAAAUUCCGUCGGA
rnacentral:rRNA from 1 species